rnacentral:rRNA from 1 species
AGCUAAUAGAUACCCGGGUAGUCCACGCCCUAAACGAUGUCUACUAGUUGUUGGUGGAGUAAAAUCCAUGAGUAAACGCAGCUAAACGCGUGAAGUAGACCGCCUGGGGAGUACGGUCGCAAGAUUAAAACUCAAAGGAAUUGACGGGGGCCCGUACAAGCGGUGGAUUAUGUGGAUUAAUUCGAUGCAACGCGAAAAACCUUACCUGGCCUUGACAUGCCACUAACGAAGCAGAGAUGCAUUAGGUGCCCGUAAGGGAAAGUGGACACAGGUGCUGCAUGGCUGUCGUCAGCUCGUGUCGUGAGAUGUUGGGUUAAGUCCCGCAACGAGCGCAACCCUUGCCAUUAAUUGCCAUCAUUUAGUUGGGCACUUUAAUGGGACUGCCGGUGACAAACCGG